AUGUAUUAUCAGAAUAACAUGAAUCAGCAUAAUCAUACCCACAACAAUAUAUACUAUAAUAUGGAUAUGAAUGAACGGCAGGAUAUAUACCCUACGAUGGAAAACAAACAAAAUACAAAUAAAAUGAAUUAUAAUUUAAUAAAUGCGGAAGAAAAAAUAAAUCAGAAACAGAGUGUAGACAUUAAUAAUGGUAAUAGGCGUAAUAGUAACAACACUAAUACUGCCAAUAACAGUAAUAAUACUAAUGAUAAUUCAUUAUCGUAUGUCAAUAAACCCACUUUUAUGCCCUAUACUACAAAUCAUUUAUACAACAAAAAUAAUUUGAACAAUAAUAAUAUAUCUGACUUGAACUGUAUAUCAACGAUGUCUGUAACUAAUGACAACAUGACCAGCUCAAAAAAAAAUAAUGACAUGCACGAUUCGUCUAAUGUACAUAAAAUAAAUCAAAAAAACGAUAAAAAAAAAACAGAUAACUUUGGUAAGAAUGCAUUAAAUAUAAAAAUUAACAAAUAUGUUAUUAAUGAUAAUAGUAGUAAUGAAAAUACUAAUAAUACCAGUAGCAUGAGUACUAGUGCAAGUGCUAGUGCUAGUGCUAGUGCCAGUAUUACCACCAACAAUACAUGUCAUAACAAUAAUACUUCUACAGUGGAAACAUAUAUUAAUGGUAAAAGGAAUAUACAGUUGAAUACAUUAACAAAAGAAGUACAAAGUCAUAAUAAAUAUAACAAAUUACAUAAAAAUAUAUAUAAUAGUGACAAUCAAAAAAAUAGUAACGCAUAUGAAACGUUUAAUGAAAACUACUAUUUUAAUGGCAAUAAUAAUUCAUAUUUAAACGAACGUACUGGGAUGUUGUACAAAGCAAAUAAUUCUUUUCAUAAUAACUUAGACAUAAAGAAUAACAAUAGUAACAGUUAUAGUAACAAUAGUAACAAUAGCAAUAGUAACAAUAGUAACAAUAGCAAUAGUAACAAUAGUAACAAUAGCUAUAGUAAAAAUAGCAAUAGUAACAAUAACAAUAGUAAUGAUUCAUCAGGACCUUAUUUUAAUAUAAAUAAAGCUUUAAAUAAUAACACAUGGUCAGAUAUAGGUUAUAAUUACCCAAAUUAUUUAGAUAGGAGUGAUUUGGGUUCUGAUAAUAAGAUUUACAACAGAAGUUUCUUAUUCCCAAGUAAUCCCAUAGAUAAACAGAAUAAUAAUGUAUAUAGUAGUAACAACCAAGAAACGCUUGAUAUAAUACAAGGUGGCAGUCAUAAAAAUGAUAAUAAUAACAAUAAUAAUAACAAUAAUAAUAAUAAUAAUAAUAAUAAUAGUGAAAGUGCUAGUCAUAUGAUCAAAUCUAAUAACAUUAACAACGCCAAUCAUAUGUUUAAUACCAAUUAUGCUGAACCUUUUAAUACUAUGAAUAUUAUAAAAAACACAAGUACAAAUUCAGUAGAAAAUCCCAACAAUAUGUUGUAUUAUCAGGGUCAGAUGAUUAACCAUAAUAAACUUAAUAAUAUGCAUACCUACUUUGAUUCGGUACGUUCAUAG
rnacentral:lncRNA from 1 species